GCUUUUAGGAUUUUUUUUGUCGAGUUAGGAUGCUUCUGUAAUACCCGUUUCCUAUCCAUAGUUAAGAUAAGAUUAUGCACUUAAGAAAUGUCAUUCUCUAAUAGCGUUUGUCCUAAACGAGGUCCUAUAACUGAAAUUGCCAUGGUUACCAAACAGAUAAGAUAGGAUUCUAAAGUUAAGAUCUUUCUGUAAUACGCCCCUAGAUUUUACAACUCUUUGUAUUAUAUAUGUGUCAUUAAAUGUCUACAAAAAAAAAAAAAAAAAAAAAACCUUCAUUACUAAGGUGAAUUCGGUCUUUUAAUAUCACUUUCACAUUAGUUCUUAGUACCUGGUAAAAAUGACUGUCAGGCAAUAGAGCAAAAGCCUUCCAGGUAGGUGUCAUGUGACAGGUUCAGUAUCAGUGGGUGCGGCUUUAAGACAAACAGUGGCGAUUCGGCGGAACACAAAGAUACAAAAAUAUAUUCGAACAUCUUUAUUAAAUUCAGAUUCUUCACAGCUCUACAACAACAUGAGCAACUGGUUACUGUUUCUGUUUUUAUUAUUAAUGUACGGAGUGUUUGGUGCAGAGCCAGAUGAAACUGAGCCAGCGACCGUGAUUGAAGGAGAUUCUGUCACUCUACACACUAACCUUUCUGAACUACUGAACGAUGAUACGAUACUGUGGCUGUUUGGACCUAAAGACUCUCUCAUAUCUCAGAUAAAGAGAAAGGAUGACCUGACCUCAUUUUUUGUCACUGAUGAUGAGAGAUUCAGAGUCAGAUUGCAGGUGGACCAAAAGACAGGAUCUCUCACCAUCAGAAACUCCAGAAUCAGACACUCGGGACAAUAUAAAGUCACCAUCUCUAGAGAAAAGACUACAAUAAAGAUAUUUAGACUUGCUGUCAUUGGUGUGGUUGGUGAGACGGAUGGAGUGAAGUCAGUGUCAGUAUCAGUGACAGAGGGACAAACUGUCACUCUAGCCAUGGAUGCUGAAAUGCCCAAAGAUGCUCUGAUGCUGUGGAGGUUUGGAGAUAAAGGCAUCCUCCUAGCUAAAAUUGAUGUUGAAACUAAUGAAAUCUCAUUAAACAAUGCUGAUGAGAGAUUCAGAGAUCGGCUGCAGCUGAAUCAGAAUGGAUCUCUGAUUAUCAAGAACACCAGAACCACAGACGCUGGACUCUAUGAGCUACAAAUCAGAGGCAGUGAGAGCUCACGGCGAUUCCUUCUUUCGGUCAAUGCCAUCCCAGAUCCAGGUCUUUCUUCAGGUGCUAUAGCAGGAAUUUGUUUUGGUGUUUUAAUUCCUGUUCUGCUGCUUGUGGCUGCAGCCUUUCGUAUGAUUUACUAUCGCCAUAGGAUCUCUAAAUUAAAAAAGCAAAUGGCUGUGGCAUGUGAAGUGAAGGAAGAGACAGUGACGGAGGGAGAUUGUCCAACUCUACACACUGGUCUUACUGAAAUACAUGGUAACGAUACAAUAGAGUGGUGCUAUGAAGCUGAAGACAAUUACAUUGCUGAAAUCAGUGGGGGAACCAGAAGGCCAUCUACAUUGGUGGGUGCUGAUGGGAGAUUCAGAAGCAAACUGAUGCUGGAUGAGAGAACUGGAGAUCUCACGAUCAGUAACGUCAGAACCAUUCACUCUGGACUCUAUAAACUCAAGAUCAGCAGCAGCAGCAAUAGCACAAUAAAAAUCAAACACAAGAGAUUCAUUCUUACUGUCAAUGUGAAGUCAGUGUCUGUGAAGGAGGGAGGUUCUGUCCUUCUCCAGACUGCUGCUAAUAUUCAGACCGAUGAUCUAAUACUGUGGACAUUUGGACCUAAACACCGUCUCGUUGUUAAAAGUGAUUCAGGAAAGAUAAGUAUUGGUAAGCGAUUUAGAGACCGACUGGAUCUGAACCAGAUAACUGGAUCACUGACCAUCAAAAACAUCGGAACCACAGACUCUGGACAUUUUGAACUACAGAUCAUCAACAGCGAACAGACCACAUUCAGAAGAUUCAAUGUGACUGUCACUGAUUCCACAGGCGAACAGGUGAAUGAACAAACAACUGUAGUGACACCUCUAUUGAAUGAGGAAGUUACUGACGGAGCAAAUGAGCAGCAGGCAACGAGUCCAGUUUGAUUAGAUAAGACAUAGCCACCACUGCGACAUCAUCGACAAUCAAGCUCAACAACAUUUAUGCUGUUGUUAAAAAAUAUGAAAAAUGAACCCGCAUACUGGAUAUAGUUUGAAUGAAUUCUUGUGUGAUGAGCACAGUUUAACAGCAGGUUACAGAAGACGCGAUAACUGAUGUGGCAUGAGCAGAGAGAGAUUCAAGGCUUUAAAGUCAGCAUGAAACGGAAGUUGCGAUUGCGACCUGUGCCUAGACACGACGACAACGCAGCCCUGAAGUGGCAGCAGAGAUUGUGCCAACUAGAUCAUCCCCUGUGAAGGUCUCACCGUCACGACAGCCAGUGGCACAGAUUCCCAACAAUACGAUCUUCAACUAGAUGGAACUGGAUUCAAUAUUUUGAAUGUUGCAAUCCUAAUCGGACUUAUGACCUGUAGCGCUGCCUGAAUCAUAAUUAUGCACUGUUCGCUGUUGGCCAGAGGAGAACUGGCCCCCCAACUGAGCCUGGUUUCUCCCAAGGUUUUUUUCUCCAUUUUUGUCGCCUGUUGGUCACCGGAUGCCAAAAAACGAGCGUUUAAGGACACAAAUGUGGAUACAGGCAAUUGAGACAGAUCGUUAUGCAUAAUACUCUGAGAACUACUGUAUGCCCACUGGAGGGGAACGUAAUCGGCGACAGGAUAUGCUAAAAAUAAAAAUAUUCACUAUUCACAAAAAAAAAAGUUUACUGACUAAAUGUUUACUGCACAUAGGCAUACUGAGUGUCAGGAUCCCACAAUUUUAAUCUUUCUUCCUGCUGAUGCUUCAUGUCUUACCCAGAUAGCAACUUUGUGUCGGCCCAGAUCCGGCCCACAUCUGGCACAUGGGGAAUGAUGAUCUGGCCCACAUUUGGCAGGAAUGAUGGCACUUGGGCGGACCGCUCCUGUUUGCCAGAUCUGGGCCACAAUCAGGCCAUAGAAAUGCCACAUGUCAGCCAAGAGCAAAGAAAUAAAACAACUGGACCUUAUCUGAUCCACAAAAUCUUUAUAUAUUAUUUAUAGAGUCAUCUCAGCAUUAACAAGCCUGUUAUCAAGCAGAAUCACUGAAGGAAAGAAGAAAAAAAAAAAAAGAGAAGAGCAGAAACACAAGAACUACAACCGACUUCAGCCACAGCCUUAGAUGAAAUCAACUGAAGAUAAAAGACAUUAAAUCUCUGAAGAUCUGAUUAAACAACUCCACAAACAGCAUUACCAGCUUCACUUAUUACUAACCAGACUGACUUUAUUUCUGUCACACGUCUACAGAAGUUCUUAUUAAGAAUUAACAGAAGUUUAACUCUCAUGUUUGUUUCAUUUGAGGUUACCAUGAUGGUGAUUGAUGUUUCCAUUAGUUGGCCUCUUAACUUUUAUUAGAUAUUUGUUUAUUCUGGCUGUUGUGAUAAUGUGUUUGGUAAGCACAUUUGCAGUAACAACAAAAAUUGAAGUGAGAUUGGGUGUUGGCAAUUAUUUUGAAAAAGCUGAUCUUCUGCUGUAGAAUCACAGUGCUGCUGUAAUCAAUAAUGUAAAUCUAACUCAGAGAUUGGGCUCUAAAUGAGUUCAGCGAUUCAGAUCAAAUAGUGAUUAUGUGAAAACAUAACCAACACCACCUGAUCAUCUCUUCACUUUGCUUGUCUGGUUGUUAUAACUCAGUUACAACAGCCCAAACAAAAUCUACCAUUAAAAAGUCAAUGGUCAAGAGCUCAACUAAAGCAAACCCUGACCUCUGUGAUGGUUUCUUAAAAAUUGUGAUUUUUCUCCUUUGGUGAUUCAGCUUGUUAUCAUCAGGUGUCUUCAAUAAUAUUCAAUCAUCACCUCAAUUAAACACUUAUUUAUCUCAUUAACUUUAACACUGCUUCAGUGGGUGGAAUAAAAAUAUGGCAGGACUUUUACUUUCUGACCCCUGGACUUUCCACCUCUGCUAGGGAGCAGAUUGAGACGCACGCAUAGUCAACGGAGAGAGUUGGAUUGUUUCCCCCCCACGAUGUGGGCGUGGCCUAAAUGCCCUCUGUUUCUAUAUGUGAAUCUGCGGGAACGUACUCGGUCAUGUGAAUAGAUCCCUAAAAUAACUUGCGCUAUAGUUUCUACAUUUCUUUAGAGGAUGAAAUUACUGGGACUCUUGAAAUGUUAUUCUUAUCGCCGAGAAAAGUCGUAUUCGAUGUAACGUCUCUCCGUUUAGUGUUUAGUACUUUUUGUUAUGGUGUUUUGAGCUUUUUUUAUCAGACUGGAUGCGGCUUCGUGACGACAAACGCAAUGGAGGUUAACAGCAUAAAAAUAUAAAAUAAUCUCAUUGACCAUCUUUAUUAAAUUCAGAUUCUUCACAGACCUGCAAAACCACGAGGAAGAUGUUAGUCUUUCUGUUCUUAUUAAUGGCUGGAGCGUCAGGUGCAGAAACUGAUGAAAUUGAGGCCGUGUUGGUGGUAGAGGGGGAUGCUGUUACUCUACACACUGAUAUUUCUGAAAUACAGAAUGAUGAUACGAUACUAUGGAUGUUUGGACCCAAAGACUCUCUCAUAUCUCAAAUACGGAGAAAGGACGACCUGACUACAUUUUUUGUCACUGAAGAUGUUGGAUUCAGAGGUAGAUUGCAGGUGAACCAAGAGACUGGAUCUCUCACCAUCAGAAACACCAGAAUCAGACACUCUGGACAAUAUAAAGUCACCAUCUCUAGAAAGAAGAUUUCAUCCAAGAUAUUUAAUGUUACUGUCUUUGGUGUGGUUAGUGAGACAGAUGGAGUGAAAGUCAGUGUCAUUAUCAGUGAUUGAGGGAGAUCCUGUCACUCUACAUGCUGAUUCUGAAGUACACCAAGAUGCUCUGAUGCUGUGGAGGUUUGGAGAUAAAGGCAUCCUCCUUGCUAAAAUCGAUAUUGAGACCAACGAAACCUCGUUAAAUGCUGAUGAGAGAUUCAGAGACCGACUGAAGCUGGAUCAGACUGGAUUUCUGACUAUCAAGAACACCAAAACCACAGACUCUGGACUCUAUGAGCUACAGAUUAGAGGCAGUGAGAGCUUAUGGCGAUUCCUGGUUUCUGUCCGUGCUGUCCCAGAUCCAGGUCUUUCUUCAGGUGUUAUAGCAGGGAUAGUUGCUGGUGUUUUGAUUUCUGUUCUGGCUGCAGCUGUUGCUUUGAUUUACUAUAACCACAGGAUCUCUAAAUUAAAAAGGCAAAUGGGCAAAGAGAAGGAAGAGACAGUGACAGAGGGAGAAUCUGUCACUCUACAGACUGAUACUACUGAAAUACAGGAAAGUAUUACGAUAAAGUGGUGCUAUGAAACUGAAGACAAUCUCAUUGCUGAAAUUAAAAGAGGGACCAGAAACACAUGGGAGGGUGCUGAUGGGAGAUUCUGGAGCAAACUGAGUCUGAAUGAAAGAACUGGAGAUCUCACUAUUAGUAACGUCAGAACCAUUCACUCUGGACUCUAUAAACUCAAGAUCAGCAGCAGCAGCAGAAGAACCAAAUACAAGAGAUUCAUUCUUACCGUCAAUGUGAGGACAGUGUCAGUGGAGGAGGGAGGUUCUGUCACUCUCCAGACUAAUGCUAAAAUACAGAGAGAUUAUCUGAUUCUGUGGACAUUUGGAGCUGAAAACCUUUUCAUUGUUAAAAAAGAUUCAGAAACGACUCGUAUUAGUGAGAGAUUCAGAGGCAGACUUAGACUGGGCAAGAGGACAGGAUCUUUGACCAUCACAAACAUCACAAAAACAGACUCUGGACAUUUUAAACUACAGAUCAUCAACGGUGAAAAGACCACAUUCAGGAGAUUCAAUGUGACUGUCACCGGAAACAGAGUGGGUGAUUUAGUGACUGUAGUGAUGCCGCUGCUGAAUGGAGAUGAUCUGGAUGGAGUGAAUGAGCAGGAAGAGACGUGGUCACUUUAAUGGAAUAAGACACGCCCACCAGUGGCAAACACUGUGACAUCAUCAACGUUAGACCUCAACAACAUAGUUCUGUAUUUAUGAAAGUGAUAAGUGAACCUGUAUGCUGGAAAAAGUUGGAAUGAAGCAUUGUUGUGAUCAUUAUGUGCCUAACAGCAGGUUACACUUGAAGUGAGCCGAACCUCAAAGGAUGCAUUUUUUUGCAGUGAUGCCACUGAAGAACCAUUUUUGAUUCUCCAAAAACAGUGCACAGUUCUUAAAACAACCAUUUUUUCAUCUAAAGAAGCUUUUCUCACUAUAAAAAAAAACAACUUUUGUGGAAUGGAAAGGUUCAGUGGAAGCACAGAUGCCAGUAAAGAACCUUUAAAGGCUCAUGAAACCCCAGAACACAUUUUUUGUGAUGUGAACAGAUAUGGACAAGUGGAACAAGUGGAAAUUGGUUAUUUUUGCAUUUUUCAGCGCAAUGUUGUACUUCCGGUUUGAAAAGCAAGUUGAAGCUACGUUACAAAAUCUGACGUAGAUUUGGUCCUCGGAGUGUGUCUAUGUCACGUGUGUGUGUCUACGAAUCUACGUCACACGGUUCUCUGCAUUUAUUCAUGAGAAAGAGCUUGCUCAGUCCAAUCCCUGCGCAUAAGAAUAUAAUUGCGGUAUUACGCAUGAGGAACUAUCACUUCUGUUCAGUGUUGCCAAUUUAGUGAUUUUGUCACUACGUAGAUUUAGUGACUUCCCUGCCCCUUUUGAGACUUUUUUCAAAAGUUUAGGGACAAAUCUAGCAACUUUUUGGACAAACCUUAUCUAGAUUCAUGACACUUUAAUUCAUGUACGACACUUUGUUUAGUAUUGACAGUUUUAGGAGUGUUUUAUCUUGUACAUUACAAAGGGAGUGUUGAUUUUUUAUUUUCCUAUUAUUAUUUACUUCAGUAUUUAUUUACUCUUAUUCUGUUUCUGUUAAUGUUGUUGUAAGUCAAAUCUUAAACAAAUCUUAAAGUUUUUAUCAUCAUGGGACUAUGUUGUGGGCAUUGAGAAGACUAUUCAGUUCAAUCUACAGUAUAUAUAUCUGCACCUUUUGACUGGCAGAAGAAUUUAACAAGAUUGUUUUGGAUAUCAGGGGAAAAAAAGGGAUGGUCCAGUAAGGCUGGAUCUGGGUAAUAGCUGCUGGAUAAAGUGGAUCAUACAUGCUAUAUCAUCAUUAUCAUCAAUAUCAUCAAAAAAAAAAAAGCAUGUUAGCUUUAUUAGUAUAGGUUAAAUCUUUUAAAACUUUUAAACUCAUAGGAACAUAAAAUUUUGAAACGUAAAACUCAGAGGAACAUAAAAUUUGAUCUCCAAGCACAUUUACCGUAAUGUAAGGAUCUUGUCUGCUAUUUAGUAUUGGUUGUUUAGUAGUAAGAUAGAUAGAAUCACAUUGAUCACUCAACAACACACUGGAGAGAGAGUUGAGAACAUGAGAGUGUUUAAAAAGAGAAUGUUUCCAUAUUCAGUGACAAGGGAGAGCCAAAGCAGCUGCUAGAAAUAACUUGAUUGACUUGAGUUUGAUUAAAUCAUAUUACAUUUUUGUUUCUCAAUUGAUUUGACACAUUUCUCCAAAUGAAUGUAAUUGCUCUCAAACAAUUAACACACACUGUAAAAAAUGAAUGUGAUUUUAAAGGUAAAAUAUUAUAAAAAGGCUACGGAAUUUUUUUUUUUUUUUACAAUUUUUAGAAGUAAAAAGGAACAAAUCAUGUAAAAUGUAAAAUUUACAGUCAAAAACUGUAAACUGAUAUUCCCACAAUUCCCUGUGACACUCCACAUUUUAAAGUAUUUUGUUUAAAUAAUCAUGUUUCUUAAUAGUUUUGUUAUCAGUUAUGUACAUUAGGGUUUUAUGUUACAUCUUCUGUUGUUUAAUGAAUGUUUAUUGCAUUAUGUAAGUGUUGUGGGUUACCAUGAUGGUGUUUUGCGUUUGCGUGAAUGACUCUUUGCACCUUCUUUAUAUUAGUAUAUACUUCAGCUUGUGGAAAAGUUACUUGUGAUGAAUUCUGAUUCUUCAUGUGGCUUUCAACCUGCAUUAUUAUGGUGGUUGUCAGUAUAUGUUAAAGGUACAAAACAGAUUUUAGUAGUGUGCAAUGUUGAAUUUACUGGUUUACAUUCAAAUUUUGAAACUCUAGAUGGUGCAGGCUGAUAGGUUUAACUAAUUAGGUAGCGAUCAUGUCACUAUCUACAUAGCAGUUUAUUGGUUGUUGUUGCCUCAGCGGCAAAUGAGCUGUGGCUCAACAUUCAAACAAAUAAUGGUGUGUUGCUGGUAGUAGUAUGCAGCGCGCUUUAAAGUAAAUAAGCAUUCAUAUUCAAUAGGAUUACAUCUUAGUGAAUUGGUGAAUUGUGUAUUGUUUUGCACUUUUGCUCAACACUAGCACUUAAAAGAACUGUAGUAUGAGACCACAUUGUGUUAUUAUAGAUUAUUCACUUGCUUGUUUGAAAAAUCGUUUAAAUAAAUGUUCAUAUAAAGA